GAUGUUAUUAAAAAUUCAAAAGCUAACUUUGGCAAUAGUUGUUGCAACCCAGAAGCACAAGUUUUACUUUCAAACGCAUGCAAUCAUCCUAAUGACGUACUAUUCUGCCCAAUCCAGACGCGCGACGAUAAAGGCGUAGACCCUGGCAGAUGUAAAGUUUUCUGACAAACGCAACACUGGAAGGACACACUCGAAAGCAAGUUUUGUCCUCGUCACCCUAAAAGAUUCUACAUAGAAGCAACAUGUAUCGGCAGUUGAGUACCAUUUCUUGAUGCGCAUCACACGGCCCUAGCCGACCCUUGCUCAAUGAUUCAACUCUAGAGUGG
rnacentral:lncRNA from 1 species